UGGGGAAUAUUGGACAAUGGGCGCAAGCCUGAUCCAGCCAUGCCGCGUGUGUGAAGAAGGCCUUUUGGUUGUAAAGCACUUUAAGCGAGGAGGAGGCUACUUGGAUUAAUACUCUAAGAUAGUGGACGUUACUCGCAGAAUAAGCACCGGCUAACUCUGUGCCAGCAGCCGCGGUAAUACAGAGGGUGCGAGCGUUAAUCGGAUUUACUGGGCGUAAAGCGUGCGUAGGCGGCUUCUUAAGUCGGAUGUGAAAUCCCUGAGCUUAACUUAGGAAUUGCAUUCGAUACUGGGAAGUUAGAGUAUGGGAGAGGAUGGUAGAAUUCCAGGUGUAGCGGUGAAAUGCGUAGAGAUCUGGAGGAAUACCGAUGGCGAAGGCAGCCAUCUGGCCUAAUACUGACGCUGAGGUACGAAAGCAUGGGGAGCAAACAGG
rnacentral:rRNA from 1 species